rnacentral:piRNA from 1 species
UAAAAUAAGGUUAAUGUGACAAGAAUGUUA